UGCAAGUCGAGCGGACAGAUGGGAGCUUGCUCCCUGAUGUUAGCGGCGGACGGGUGAGUAACACGUGGGUAACCUGCCUGUAAGACUGGGAUAACUCCGGGAAACCGGGGCUAAUACCGGAUGGUUGUCUGAACCGCAUGGUUCAGACAUAAAAGGUGGCUUCGGCUACCACUUACAGAUGGACCCGCGGCGCAUUAGCUAGUUGGUGAGGUAACGGCUCACCAAGGCGACGAUGCGUAGCCGACCUGAGAGGGUGAUCGGCCACACUGGGACUGAGACACGGCCCAGACUCCUACGGGAGGCAGCAGUAGGGAAUCUUCCGCAAUGGACGAAAGUCUGACGGAGCAACGCCGCGUGAGUGAUGAAGGUUUUCGGAUCGUAAAGCUCUGUUGUUAGGGAAGAACAAGUGCCGUUCAAAUAGGGCGGCACCUUGACGGUACCUAACCAGAAAGCCACGGCUAACUACGUGCCAGCAGCCGCGGUAAUACGUAGGUGGCAAGCGUUGUCCGGAAUUAUUGGGCGUAAAGGGCUCGCAGGCGGUUUCUUAAGUCUGAUGUGAAAGCCCCCGGCUCAACCGGGGAGGGUCAUUGGAAACUGGGGAACUUGAGUGCAGAAGAGGAGAGUGGAAUUCCACGUGUAGCGGUGAAAUGCGUAGAGAUGUGGAGGAACACCAGUGGCGAAGGCGACUCUCUGGUCUGUAACUGACGCUGAGGAGCGAAAGCGUGGGGAGCGAACAGGAUUAGAUACCCUGGUAGUCCACGCCGUAAACGAUGAGUGCUAANUGUUAGGGGGUUUCCGCCCCUUANUGCUGCAGCUAACGCAUUAAGCACUCCGCCUGGGGAGUACGGUCGCAAGACUGAAACUCAAAGGAAUUGACGGGGGCCCGCACA
rnacentral:rRNA from 1 species